rnacentral:rRNA from 1 species
GAUGAACGCUGGCGGCGUGCCUAAUACAUGCAAGUCGAGCGAACAGAUAAGGAGCUUGCUCCUUUGACGUUAGCGGCGGACGGGUGAGUAACACGUGGGUAACCUACCUAUAAGACUGGAAUAACUCCGGGAAACCGGGGCUAAUGCCGGAUAACAUUUAGAACCGCAUGGUUCUAAAGUGAAAGAUGGUUUUGCUAUCACUUAUAGAUGGACCCGCGCCGCAUUAGCUAGUUGGUAAGGUAACGGCUUACCAAGGCAACGAUACGUAGCCGACCUGAGAGGGUGAUCGGCCACACUGGAACUGAGACACGGUCCAGACUCCUACGGGAGGCAGCAGUAGGGAAUCUUCCGCAAAGGGCGAAAGCCUGACGGAGCAACGCCGCGUGAGUGAUGAAGGUCUUCGGAUCGUAAAACUCUGUUAUUAGGGAAGAACAAAUGCGUAAGUAACUGUGCACGUCUUGACGGUACCUAAUCAGAAAGCCACGGCUAACUACGUG